GGUGUGUUCAGUUCACGGCUCAUCGUCAGGGAGGAAAGUAAACGAGGGUCCAUGAUAGUUGGCAUAACUCAUGACAGACCCGAGUGAUGAAUUCUCUACAAAUGGCAGCACUUAGUGAUCAUAAGGAUUAAUGCUUAGAAUGUCAGCAAAUUCAACCCAUCACCCCUCUGAAUACAUUCAUCUUCCUACCAGGGUAGCAAGAGUGGAGAGAUUUCUUGAUGCAAAAUGCCUGAAGUCCUGCUAUUGCAUUAGCCUUUAUGGUUGGGAAUUGGACGAUUCACCAGAAGCACCGAGGGAUCAAAGCAGAAGGUGAAUGCCCCGAGUCUGAGAGAGCGUCGGACGCAUAAGGAGAAGCA